UACGUAGGGAGCAAGCGUUGUCCGGAAUCAUUGGGCGUAAGCGCGCGUAGGUGGCCAUGUAAGUCCGCUGUGAAAGUCAAAGGCUCAACCUUUGAAAGCCGGUGGAUACUGCAUGGCUAGAGUACGGAAGAGGCGAGUGGAAUUCCUGGUGUAGCGGUGAAAUGCGCAGAUAUCAGGAGGAACACCGGUGGCGAAGGCGGGUCUCUGGGCCGAUACUGACGCUGAGGAGCGAAAGCGUGGGGAGCGAACAGG
rnacentral:rRNA from 1 species